UUUGCACUGGAAUGGAGAUUUUAACACGAAGUGAGUGGCGGACGGGUGAGUAACACGUGGGUAACCUGCCCAGAAGCAGGGGAUAACACCUGGAAACAGAUGCUAAUACCGUAUAACAGAGAAAACCGCCUGGUUUUCUUUUAAAAGAUGGCUCUGCUAUCACUUCUGGAUGGACCCGCGGCGCAUUAGCUAGUUGGUGAGGUAACGGCUCACCAAGGCGAUGAUGCGUAGCCGACCUGAGAGGGUAAUCGGCCACAUUGGGACUGAGACACGGCCCAGACUCCUACGGGAGGCAGCAGUAGGGAAUCUUCCACAAUGGACGCAAGUCUGAUGGAGCAACGCCGCGUGAGUGAAGAAGGGUUUCGGCUCGUAAAGCUCUGUUGUUAAAGAAGAACGUGGGUGAGAGUAACUGUUCACCCAGUGACGGUAUUUAACCAGAAAGCCACGGCUAACUACGUGCCAGCAGCCGCGGUAAUACGUAGGUGGCAAGCGUUAUCCGGAUUUAUUGGGCGUAAAGCGAGCGCAGGCGGUCUUUUAAGUCUAAUGUGAAAGCCUUCGGCUCAACCGAAGAAGUGCAUUGGAAACUGGGAGACUUGAGUGCAGAAGAGGACAGUGGAACUCCAUGUGUAGCGGUGAAAUGCGUAGAUAUAUGGAAGAACACCAGUGGCGAAGGCGGCUGUCUGGUCUGUAACUGACGCUGAGGCUCGAAAGCAUGGGUAGCGAACAGGAUUAGAUACCCUGGUAGUCCAUGCCGUAAACGAUGAUUACUAAGUGUUGGAGGGUUUCCGCCCUUCAGUGCUGCAGCUAACGCAUUAAGUAAUCCGCCUGGGGAGUACGACCGCAAGGUUGAAACUCAAAAGAAUUGACGGGGGCCCGCACAAGCGGUGGAGCAUGUGGUUUAAUUCGAAGCUACGCGAAGAACCUUACCAGGUCUUGACAUCUUCUGCCAACCUAAGAGAUUAGGCGUUCCCUUCGGGGACAGAAUGACAGGUGGUGCAUGGUUGUCGUCAGCUCGUGUCGUGAGAUGUUGGGUUAAGUCCCGCAACGAGCGCAACCCUUAUUACUAGUUGCCAGCAUUCAGUUGGGCACUCUAGUGAGACUGCCGGUGACAAACCGGAGGAAGGUGGGGACGACGUCAAAUCAUCAUGCCCCUUAUGACCUGGGCUACANNCGUGCUACAUGGAUGGUACAACGAGUCCGGAAACCGCGAGGUUAGCUAAUCUCUUAAACCCUUCUCAGUUCGGACUNUAGGCUGGAAAUUGCCUACCAGA
rnacentral:rRNA from 1 species